rnacentral:rRNA from 2 species
CGGGUGAGUAACACGUGGGUAACCUGCCCAUUGGACUGGGAUAACUCCGGGAAACCGGGGCUAAUACCGGAUAACAUUUUGAACCGAAUGGUUCGAAAUUGAAGGGCGGCUUCGGCUGUCACUUAUGGAUGGACCCACGUCGAUUAGCUAGUUGGUGAGGUAACGGCUCACCAAGGCUGCGAUGCGUAGCCCACCUGAGAGGGUGAUCGCUGCCGCUGGGACUGAGACUUAGCCCAGACUCCUACGGGAGGCAGCAGUAGGGAAUCUUCCGCAAUGGACGAAAGUCUGACGGAGCAACGCCGCGUGAGUGAUGAAGGCUUUCGGGUCGUAAAACUCUGUUGUUAGGGAAGAACAAGUGCUAGUUGAAUAAGCUGGCACCUUGACGGUACCUAACCAGAAAGCCACGGCUAACUACGUGCCAGCAGCCGCGGUAAUACGUAGGUGGCAAGCGUUAUCCGGAAUUAUUGGGCGUAAAGCGCGCGCAGGUGGUUUCUUAAGUCUGAUGUGAAAGCCCACGGCUCAACCGUGGAGGGUCAUUGGAAACUGGGAGACUUGAGUGCAGAAGAGGAAAGUGGAAUUCCAUGUGUAGCGGUGAAAUGCGUAGAGAUAUGGAGGAACA